rnacentral:lncRNA from 1 species
AUGAAAACUUUAGACAAAUUUUCUCCUAAGGAUUGCUUUGGAAACAUUCUAAAAGUUUUGAUUUUCAGCAUCAUGUAGACACAGCUUCAGAUCCAGCCAAGUAGACCAGAAGAGUGUUCAAAAGACUGAAUAAUUUGGGGAAAGUUGCUAUUGCCAUCCUCAUUUGGAAAAAAUGAAGAUGAAGAACAAAGGACAGCUUGUCUCAAAUAAUUUAGAAAGUCAACAGUUGGGCUGUGGAGUUGAGUAAACUAAAUUUGCAUAAUUUGGAAGUCAUUGUAUAAAAACUAUUGCCAGAAAAAAGUCCCCCAACCCCUCCUUCCUCAGGAGCUUCUUUGAAAAAAGGCCACAAUGCAAAAUUAUAAUGGGGUUAAUGGUACUUGGAGAUUA